GAUCGAUGAAGAACGCAGCGAAAUGCGAUAAGUAAUGUGAAUUGCAGAAUUCAGUGAACUCAUCGAAUCUUUGAACGCACCUUGCGCCCCUUGGCUAUUCCGAGGGGCAUGCCUGUUUGAGUUANUCAUGAACACAUCAACUCUCAUGGUUUGCCAUGAUGAGUUGGACUCUGGGGGUUUUGCUGGCCUGUGGUCGGCUCCUCUUAAAUUAAUCAGCCUCCCAGUGUUUGGUGGCAUCAUGGGUGUGAUAAAUAUCUACGCUCGCUGUUGUCUGCCAGGUAACCUUUGGUAACAAAGGUUUGCUGGAGCUCACAGAUGUCUCUCCUCAGCGAGGACAACUUUUUAACGUUCGAUCUCAAAUCAGGUAGGACUACCCGCUGAACUUAA
rnacentral:rRNA from 1 species